CAGUGCUCACACCCUCAGGUAAUCUUUCAUUAAGGUGUAAUGGAAAAGGCUCCCACUACUGGCCCCGCAUCUCUCAUAUCCCCUGCAUCCAAAUAAACCACAGCAAGGAUACUUUUAAUUUGCUUUCUUUCAAACAACAAAGCAAAGAUAUCAAAGAAAUCGCUGAUAUGUUGCAAGAUAGUCAUGAAGAUUAAUUGAGCCGAAAGAAGAAAGAUAGCAUGUGGUUUAACGCCUGAAGUUCAUAUGAACCAUGUUUAACUUCCAGAGGCAGGGCCGACCCAUGAGUCUAACGUCUUUUUCUUGAGUUUAAUCUGGUGUAUUUUGAGUAUAUCAUUAUGUGAAUAUGUUCUUCUUGAUAUUGAUAUUCAAUAUCCAAUGACCUGUUUCCAAAGUGAAAGCCUUUAUGUGUUCAAAAUCUAUAAUCAAGGAUGGAAGGCUUGAUUCUGACAUUCUGUUAUUGCGGUUCUAAGGAAACAGAGGGCCCUAGUCUGAUGUUCUUCCUAUUGUGCAGUUAUAAGUGAUCUUCCACAAGCAACGGAAACCACGCUCACUGGUUUAUCUUCAAAUGUCUUUGUCAGCACUGCCAAACCAUCAUGAAAAAGCAUUGUUAAUAUUACCCCUAUGAACUGAACUGCUGUUAAAAAAUGAAUUUGUUGCCGAAAUUGCUGCUCUUACUGAACUCAACCCCAACACGACUGGAUUCAUGGGAGCAAUGAUUCAUAAUUUGGCAUGUGUGCUUAGGAAGAUAUUUUUAAAAAGAAAGAUGAAUGGGAAGGCAGUUAAUUGGACCCCAUUUCAUUUGGUACUUCACAUUAUACAUCUAGACACCUUCAUUACCAUUUUUUAAUCGAAUUUUUUGUUUCGCA